rnacentral:rRNA from 1 species
UGGGGAAUUUUGGACAAUGGGCGAAAGCCUGAUCCAGCAAUGCCGCAUGUGUGAAGAAGGCCUUCGGGUUGUAAAGCACUUUUGUCCGGAAAGAAAUCCUUGGCUCUAAUACAGUCGGGGGAUGACGGUACCGGAAGAAUAAGCACCGGCUAACUACGUGCCAGCAGCCGCGGUAAUACGUAGGGUGCAAGCGUUAAUCGGAAUUACUGGGCGUAAAGCGUGCGCAGGCGGUUUGCUAAGACCGAUGUGAAAUCCCCGGGCUCAACCUGGGAACUGCAUUGGUGACUGGCAGGCUAGAGUAUGGCAGGAGGGGGGUAGAAUUCCACGUGUAGCAGUGAAAUGCGUAGAGAUGUGGAGGAAUACCGAUGGCGAAGGCAGCCCCCUGGGCCAAUACUGACGCUCAUGCACGAAAGCGUGGGGAGCAAACAGGAUUAGAUACCCUGGUAGUCCACGCCCUAAACGAUGUCAACUAGUUGUUGGGGAUUCAUUUCCUUAGUAACGUAGCUAACGCGUGAAGUUGACCGCCU